rnacentral:rRNA from 1 species
UAGAGGAAGUAAAAGUCGUAACAAGGUCUCCGUUGGUGAACCAGCGGAGGGAUCAUUACUGAGUUUACGCUCUACAACCCUUUGUGAACAUACCUACAACUGUUGCUUCGGCGGGUAGGGUCCCGGUGACCCUCCCGGCCUCCCGCCCCCCCGGGCGGGUCGGCGCCCGCCGGAGGAUAACCAAACUCUGAUUUAACGACGUUUCUUCUGAGUGGUACAAGCAAAUAAUCAAAACUUUUAACAACGGAUCUCUUGGUUCUGGCAUCGAUGAAGAACGCAGCGAAAUGCGAUAAGUAAUGUGAAUUGCAGAAUUCAGUGAAUCAUCGAAUCUUUGAACGCACAUUGCGCCCGCCAGCAUUCUGGCGGGCAUGCCUGUUCGAGCGUCAUUUCAACCCUCAAGCUCUGCUUGGUGUUGGGGCCCUACAGCUGAUGUAGGCCCUCAAAGGUAGUGGCGGACCCUCCCGGAGCCUCCUUUGCGUAGUAACUUUACGUCUCGCACUGGGAUCCGGAGGGACUCUUGCCGUAAAACCCCCCAAUUUUCCAAAGGUUGACCUCGGAUCAGGUAGGAAUACCCGCUGAACUUAAGCAUAUCAAUA